rnacentral:miRNA from 1 species
UCAUAGAGUGUUAGUGCUGGGA